rnacentral:rRNA from 1 species
CCUACGGGAGGCAGCAGUGAGGAAUAUUGCGCAAUGGAGGCAACUCUGACGCAGCCAUGCCGCGUGCAGGAAGAAGGCGUACGCGUUGUAAACUGCUUUUAUUCGGGAAGCGGUACCGAAGGAAUAAGCACCGGCUAACUUCGUGCCAGCAGCCGCGGUAAUACGAAGGGUGCAAGCGUUAUCCGGAUUCAUUGGGUUUAAAGGGUGCGUAGGCGGAGCGUUAAGUCAGUGGUGAAAUCCUGCAGCUCAACUGUAGACUUGCCAUUGAUACUGGCGCUCUUGAGUGCGCUUGAAGUAGGCGGAAUGUGCCGUGUAGCGGUGAAAUGCUUAGAUAUGGCACAGAACACCAAUUGCGAAGGCAGCUUACUAAGGCGAACUGACGCUGAGGCACGAAAGCGUGGGGAUCGAACAGGAUUAGAUACCCUAGUAGUC